rnacentral:rRNA from 1 species
AAAAGUCGUAACAAGGUCUCCGUUGGUGAACCAGCGGAGGG